UCUUAGGUCCCUUACUCAGCCGGUUUCGUCCGCCUUCGACCAUCGUCGGUUCAAGUUUUUUUUUUCACGCGCAAUCGUCCCUGCCGAAAACAUCGGGAUGCAAUCCCAUCUAUAGCACCGAUCCACCCCACCUCACCUCCGUCCUGGGCGGCUCGGCGCUGCCUCCUCCCCUCCCAAGCACGAUCCCCCAAGCACAGCCGCCGCCACACCCCCGUCAGAGUACACCUCCAAUACUCCUCUCUCUCUCUCUCUCUCUUGGAGCCGUCGUCGCUCCCCAUCCACCCGGCCCGGCGUGCAUCGGAUCGACCUUGUCCCCUCUCCUUGCAACGUGGAAGAUGGAAGGGGCGGCCAGUCGGCCACCAAUCUGAUGGCGGCGUGGUCAUCUACCUCCUCCCCUCUCCCCACGUUGGUCCAGCCUGUCUUCUCUACCAGAUCUGGCGGCCGCGUCGGCGAAACUGCUGGCAGUGACACGAUUCGCGGGUGUGGCGAUAGGAAACAUCGAUCGGUCGUCUUCGAGGCCGCCUACCACGGCGAUCCCGCAGUCCAUCCUCCCCGCCUCCAAGAUGUGGCCUGCACGAGGCCAUCUUCUCCUUUCCUCGGUGGCGUCCGUCCAAUGAAGAGCUACACCGCCGUGGCACCACAUGACUUGUGUUGUACCCUCGCCCCGCGGCCCUUCUAUGCUGGGAGGAGGCAGCGUUUGUCCGUAGCACCCCAUGUCCCACAUCAUCAUUCCUUUCUUACUUAGUGUCAUACAAGUGAUGCAAUCAUGAUUUGCUGGCCUUUUAACAUAUCCCUGAUGGAGUGGAGGGGAGGGGACAGACGGAUUGGAAAUACAAUGAGGAUGGUGCAUGGAGAACAUGCUCUGUUGCCAUCUUCAUCCGCGAGUUGGCUCCCAAAUCUAAAAGGCGCGUCUGACGAAACAGGAGUGUAACAGGGCACGGCUGCUGAACCAGGACAACCACAUAUGAGUUUUUGAUUUCUUAUUUGUUCGUCAGUGAGUCUAUAGCAUAGGAUUACACCAUACAUCAUUCUUCCCAUCAUUUAUGUUCUGCAAAUGAGAUAUGCAAUUUUUUCUUGGUAUCUUGGAUAAUCACAGUCUGGUUCUUGAAGUGCGAAAAUUAAACUGAUCUAAGUUAUUUUCUUUUUCAGGACCUGGUCACAAAUAAUGAGUUUGAGACAAACCUUGUGUCAUGUGUUAUCGCACUCAGAUAUUGGAGCCUUGGAGAAUGUAAAAGAAAUGUUAAACGGUUAGAUGUGGCCCCUCUAAACUUACUUGAAUUGCUCAGCAAAGGUCCGCGAUUAAUGGUACCCAUGUACAUUCAGUAGGCCGAGUUGCCGAGUUGGUCUUGCUAUAUUGUAUUCAGGCAUAGUCUUGAAAUUUCAUCAAAAAUAAGUUCAAGCAUGAUAUUUAAUAUCAAUUCUGGAAGAAUGACCUGACACACCUGAACAUAAGAAAACAUAAGGUGGCUAAAAAAUAUAUUGAACCAAAUGUGCCUGACUGAAUUUUAUUUGGAAAAAGUACUGAAUUUUAUUUGGGAGUACAAUAAGCAGUUAUGUAUAAUCUUCUGUCUUGCAAACUGGAAAUGAAAACUAAUUAUCAUUUUUU